GGGGACGUAGCUGAGUGGUAGAGCGCUCGCUUUGCGUGUGAAAGAUCCUGGAUUCAAUCCACGGAGUGCUGG
rnacentral:tRNA from 1 species